AUGUAUAGGAGCACCGUCGUCACGAACCACUUGACUAAACUGAUCGAUCACCCGUCCGGCCGCCCCACGCGCCGGCGCCGCCCGCGAAUCCUCCCCUCCCCUUCCUCGCAUCGCAUCUCCCUCCCCUUUACAACCGCGCGCGCUCACCUGCGACCACACAGGCCCGCCUCUGCUCGUCGCUGUCCGCCGCGUACCGGCGUACGCGCACACGAUCGAUCGACCACGCCAUCGGCCGUCGUCUCCAUCGGGGAGCAAAGGGGCCGGGUCGCCGGCUGGGCAAAUCGCGCUGUAGCUCUCACGCGCUGCUCGCCACACACGGGAUCGCCGCGCUCCCGGGAUUAG
rnacentral:rRNA from 1 species